rnacentral:misc_RNA from 1 species
AAGUCGUAACAAGGUUUCCGUAGGUGGUUCGCCUACUAGAGCCUGCCGUGACUAUAAAUAAUGGCGCAGUCUGCCAGCGUUGCAGGCAACAUCUCUAACAUGCUAGAAGUUACUGUAUAGUAUCACUAGCAGCACGCUAUGUCGUGUUCACAGAUCAAAUAGAGGUGGCCCCUAGGGGUUAAGACAUGAUCGAUUAGAAGCCUGAAAUGGAUUCUCCUGAUUUUCAAAGGAACCUGCGGAAGGAUCAUUACAGAGAACUUGCCCUUCGGGGUAGAUCUCCCACCCUUUGUUUACAUUACC